GACGAACCGUGCGAACGUUGUUCGGAAUCACUGGGCUUAAAGGGCGCGUAGGCGGCUUGCCAAGUCAGGGGUGAAAUCCAGCAGCUUAACUGUUGAAGUGCCUUUGAUACUGGCGAGCUCGAGGGAGGUAGGGGUUUGCGGAACUUCUGGUGGAGCGGUGAAAUGCGUUGAUAUCAGAAGGAACGCCGGUGGCGAAAGCGGCGAACUGGACCUCUUCUGACGCUGAGGCGCGAAAGCUAGGGGAGCGAACGGGGAUUAGAUACCCCAGG
rnacentral:rRNA from 1 species